UACGUAGGGUGCAAGCGUUAAUCGGAAUUACUGGGCGUAAAGCGUGCGCAGGCGGUUUUGUAAGUCUGACGUGAAAUCCCCGGGCUCAACCUGGGAAUUGCGUUGGAGACUGCAAGGCUGGAGUCUGGCAGAGGGGGGUAGAAUUCCACGUGUAGCAGUGAAAUGCGUAGAUAUCCGGAGGAACACCAGUGGCGAAAGCGGCCACCUGGACUGUACCUGACGCUCAAACGCGAAAGCUAGGGGAGCGAACGGG
rnacentral:rRNA from 1 species